GUGUGUGUGUGUGUGUGUGUGCGCGCACGCGCGCGCACACACACACGCACGUGCGCGUAUGCCUUAACAAAGUUAAGGUUGUAUCAGAAAGAAGGAAGAAGGAAAUGGAUGCAGGGGAGGGAACCAACAACAUCCAUUACUUGCUUUCCCUUACAGUCUCCAGCUGCCCAUUUGGGAUUGUGAAUUCCAACGAGCCCGUGGAAGGUUAGUCCCUAAUCACCCUAGAUUGUAGCCCUGUGACACCUCAGGACUUCCACGACAGGACAUUUUCCUGGUGCUAAUUUACCAUAA